rnacentral:rRNA from 1 species
UACGAGGGGGGCAAGUGUUGUUCGGAAUUACUGGGCGUAAAGCGUGCGUAGGUGGUUCGUUAAGUCUGAUGUGAAAGCCCUGGGCUCAACCUGGGAAUGGCAUUGGAAACUGGCGACCUAGAGUGCGGUAGAGGGUAGUGGAAUUCCCGGUGUAGCAGUGAAAUACGUAGAGAUCGGGAGGAACAUCUGUGGCGAAGGCGACUGCCUGGACCAGCACUGACACUGAGGCACGAAAGCGUGGGGAGCAAACAGG